AUAGUAAGAUGCAGAUGCUCAUCUUGGCAGCAGGCAUUACUGCAUUGCCAUCUGGUACAAAGAGAAAGGUGUUCCAACAUGGCUAUGGAUGGCUGCAAGUUAGAGGAUGAGAUUACAGGAGAGGACUUAUGGAAAGGAGAAAUGAAAGUAUCAGCCCUCCCAACAAAGAAACUCUGAGAGCUCAUGACCCUAUAUGUCAGAUGUUAAAGCUACAGCUGCAAUGGUCAAACAGAGCUUCUUGAACACAGCAGCAUUAUUCCACUGAUGCCACCCACAGCAGAAUUUUCCAUGGCUCAGCUGACUCUGUGUUGAUAGUUUCCUCCAGUUUUGCAGCAGAAAGGUCAAAGUUCUGCUCCCCACACUGAUUUUCCAGCUGGUAGCAAACCAAUGAGAUAUAUGUAGUCAUGAGUGCCUGUGUGUGUUACAAGGAUGACCUUAUUUUAAAUAAAGUUAACUCUAAAAGUU